AUGGGAAGAUGUCAAAAGGGAAUCGGGUGGAAGUCCCGAGCAGUCCCGCUGCUGUAAGUUCCAUUGUGACGUAGUGCAUGUCUUCAUGACAGAGCCACUGAUCUUGGAUGUAACAUAGGUAUUUAUGAUAGCAUCCAACAAAUCGGGAAGGUGCACAACGUCGGAAUAAGCCAGAAAACCUGCCUCUGCAUAU
rnacentral:ncRNA from 1 species